ensembl:lncRNA
GUGCAUUGUAUUUAGAUGUACACAGUCUCUUCAUGCCUCUGUGAACUUCCCCGGCCCAUGGGGAUUUUCAGUUUCAUGGAAGCAGUCUCCUGGUCCAUAAUCGUGCUCUAGGAGUAAAAUCUGAUUUGCAAAACCGAUUUUCAAGUUACGCUGCUCCAAAACACCUACAAUCAAUAAAUAACAAGGCCACCAGCACACAAAACAAAGACCACAAACAUACCAUCAGUAAUUUACCAUAGACACUGUUCCAAUGGCAAUACACUGCUAAUGGCUGUGGUAGAGCAUUUCCUUUUCACCAUCUAAACACUUUAAAACGUGGGGUUUGAGAACAUUUUCCUUUUCUAUUUCUUUCCCUUUCUUUAUGUGUCUUUUUAAUGAAGUCCCCCUUAUCAUAUUUGUGGAAUAGCAAUAAUAACUGAGAAGAAUAAACCCAUUUAAAAAAAUUUGCCUUGCUUUCUACCCAAAGAAGACUUUUUCCAUUUUUUUUUCCCCUUAGAGGUGAAGCUGAGAGCUGGUUAUUUUAUUUGAUUGUCUAUUUUAAUACAUAAAGCACUGUGAAAACAUACACUAAAGUGAAGUCUAAACCUUCCAUCCAAACAUUACAGGAAAUGUUUCUGUUGGAAAAGAUGGUAACAUAUGAAAAUAUUCCUAAAUCUCAUUUUUCCUCUGAAACACUACUUAACCCUCAGGCAAUAAAUUUCAUUGAACUCAGUGAAGUGAGAAAUGGGCCCUUUUAAUAAGGCUUUUAACUACACAUCUUAAUGAAACUUAUUAAUGGUGUCCCUGCCACUGUGUUGGCUGCAUGUGUGUUUAUGUAUACUGUGUAAGAAGAAUAAAUAUUUUUCAUAUUUAGAGAUUUACUGUUCUAUGGUAAAUUUCAAACAACACUAGAAAUAAACAGACAAUUCUUUCUUUUUAAUAACUGCAGUUUGCCAGCUUUCUUCUUUACCUGAGUCAUGACCACCAGGAGGGGCUUCACAGCAGCUUCUUUUGCUCCUGGAUCCAGAAAAAUAUGUGCAUUUGCCUACAAGGACAGUGUGCUUUUUAAGAUACAGCUGCUAUCACAACUGCAAGAAUUCCUGUUUGUUCUUGGAGGAGGCUCGUGUCAAAGCCCGGACCAUGUACAAAUUCCCCAGUGGUCGCUGUGUGGCACACCGCGAUAUUUGGAAAGUACAGGAAUCAAAUUUACAUCAGUUUCUUCCAGGACUCAUAUCCUGCACCAGCAGAAGUUGAAAAGACACCUUUUUUUGUAGAGAGCUUCUCUAAUCAGUAUUCUUGAUGUGUAUUCUAGUGGUAGGAAGUAGCAAUAAUAAUAUUAAAACUACCACAUACUAUAAAGCUACAUGUUGAAGGGGAUAAAGCUAAGCAUGUUCUGUGGCCAGGACCAGAUAUCUGCAGUAGUAAAGCAUGUUGUGCAUGUUGGGUGUGUCAAACACUGACACUUUUCAUUCUGAAAGGGAUUUCCAGGCAUAUCUUGGGUAUUUUUAACAAAAGUGAAAGAAAAACAUAAUUUAUAGCAAGUAUAGAUUUCCCUAUUGUCUACAGAGACAGUUUUGAUUUCCUAGCUGCAAACAAAGGUCAUGAGGAUAAUAACUGACUGGAAGAAAGAAUGUGAAUUAGAAAGGGCAAUAAUCCUUUACUUGGAACUUCUCCUGCUGCUGGAAAGCAGUUGGUUUCAUUCUGGCCAGAGCAAAGUUUUCAGCGAGACUGGAUGUGUCAAAGCAAAGCUACAAAGACCAGACUGCUGAUUUCCCUAAAAAACACCCUACAGACGUUUAAGCUUGCAUUUACAGAACUAUUUCUUAAAAGUCCAGCUACAGCAAAUUGAAUCAAAUAGCUGCAAGGAGUUUCAUUGCUUGGUGCCCUGAUCUUCCCUGCAAAUCCUUUGGACAGAGUCCAAGUAUGAGAAAGACGUGCAAAACCCAGUAAUGUAUCCUUGCAGAAACUGAUCCAACACUGAGGGAAAGAGGAAUUCUGAAACAACUGGUGAAUGUAAAAGGGAUUUCCUUGUCAUACUUGCCAUCCAUACAAAUGACUGGGUUUCCCAGCUACCCAAACUUCUAUCUGUGUCUGUAUCCCCUCAGUAAACCUCUCCAGCUCAACUGUCACAGGAAUUGUCUACACACCUAAUCAUCUCUUACUCUUCUCCUUCCAGGUUUCCAUGUUCAGUGCAUGAGUUUUUAAAUAAUUUGAUCAUUUUCAUAACCUGCUUGGACUUGAUUCUCUAGCAUGCUGUUUUUCAAGAAGCAAUUCAUCAGUGUGGGUGACUGCACGAUAGCCUAACCUGAAAACUCUCCAGGUUUCCUGAAUUCCACUGUCUUGCACAUGUUUAUUAUUACUCCAUAGCUACUAUGUCCAUAUACAGAAUGAUGAAAGGGUGGUGUUUUUCAUUAUCUGACAAGAAUAUUGCUGAAGUAGCAAAGAAGCUUGUGCAUUAUGAACACACAGAACAGGAAUGUCUGAUCAUGUGCAGUGGGAGGAUAGGAAAUUAAUUUUACAGCACCCUUCAAAAAGUCUGUCAGAAAAGUUAUCUUUGAAAUAUCCUCUUUCUCAGUGGGAAAAUAACAUAUAAGAGCAAAUCCUGGUUUUCUUGGCUUCUGGUGCCACCAGAGUUAUCUCUCAAGUAAAGGAACCAGUCUUGUUUCCAUUAAUUCCAAACAUUAAACAGCUAUGACACUGACUUUUAAAAAAGUUUUUUACCUGGAAUGGAGGACUAGCUAAUUCAGCCUGCACACAUGUAUUAUGCUUCCUACAUGUAAAGUCUUUGAUCCAUGAUGAAACCAUCAUUUGUUGAUCUAUUUUGCACUGUAUCUUGCAAUAAAUGCUUUUCAAUAUAUAUUUUAUUGUAUCUG